UCCCCUUCUCCCUUAAUUAAUCAGAACAAAAGAAUCCUUCCUUGCCUAUUUUACCCAGUAAAUUAGACAUCAUCAUUCUUAUCUUCUCAAGCAAUUGAAUACCUCCUUAAGAUUAUGGACCCCCGAAUCAAUUAGUUCAUUGUAAAUCGUUUUAUGGUUAUUCUAUCUUUAUGAUUUUCCAUGCUACUUGAUCAUUUGAUGGGAGUAUCUCUAAUUUUUAGCAUGUUUAACUUAUUUCAUGCUUGGACUAUUUACCAUACAUCUGCAUCAU
rnacentral:lncRNA from 1 species